rnacentral:rRNA from 1 species
AUUGAACGCUGGCGGCAGGCUUAACACAUGCAAGUCGAACGGAGCGGGGGACGGGGGAGUAAGGCUUAGGAAUCUGCAUAUUAGUGGGGGACAACGUCUCGAAAGGGAUGCUAAUACCGCAACCUAUUAGAUGAGCCUAAGUGGGAAUGGCUAGUUGGUGGGGUAAAGGCCUACCAAGGCGACGAUCGGUAGAGCGUCUGUGAGGAUGAUCCGCCAAACUGGGACUGAGACACGGCCCAGACUCCUACGGGAGGCAGCAGUGGGGAAUAUUGGACAAUGGGGGGAAACCUGAUCCAGCCAUGCCGAGUGUGUGAAGAAGGCCUUAUGGUUGUAAAGCACUUUAAGCGAGGAGGCGUUACUCGCAGAAUAAGCACCGGCUAACUCUGUGCCAGCCGCCGCGGUAAUAC